rnacentral:rRNA from 1 species
AUUGAACGCUGGCGGCAGGCCUAACACAUGCAAGUCGAACGAGUGGCGGACGGGUGAGUAAUAUCUGGGAAACUGCCUGAUGGAGGGGGCUAACUACUGGAAACGGUAGCUAAUACCGCAUACCAUCAGAUGUGCCCCGAUGGGAUUAGCUUGUUGGUGGGGUAACGGCUCACCAAGGCGUCGCUCCCUAGCUGGCCUGAGAGGCUGACCAAAGAGACUGGAACAGAGACACUGUCCAGAAGCCUACGGGAGUCAGCAGUGGGGAUAAUUGCGAAAUGGGCGCAAGCCUGAUGCAGCGAUGCCGAGUGUAUGAAGAAGGCCAUCGGGUUGUAAAGUACUUUCAGCGGGGAGGCGUUACCCGCAGUAGAAGCACCGGCUAAUUCCGGGCCAGCAGCCGCGGUAAUAC